GAGCCGAAUACACACCUACGCAUUCACUCCGGAGAAAAUGUGUACUGGUGUGAUCAGUGUGGCAAAUACUUUACAACAGACGCACAGUUACAAAGCCACAUGUUUACCCACACUGAGGAGAGACCUUAUCAAUGCGACCUGUGUGAGAAGACUUUUAAAGCUCCGCGUCACCUGAGACGACACCAACAGAUCCACACCAGAAAGAGACUCUACAAGUGCAGUUACUGUGAGCGGCUCAUUCCUCUGUCAGGUGUACAUGGAAUAAUAUAAAACUUAAGUUAAGUACAAAACCAAACCAUUCAGUAAUCUUCUCUUAUGGUUAACAAAGUUGUAUCGUUAUGUAAUGAUAUUGUAGUAUUGUAGCUGUAGUAUCAUUGCUUCCUUAUAGUUUUAGUACUUUUAAACAUUAUUGUUAAAAUAUCCAUUUAAUGUUAUAAUUGCAGUGUCAUUGGGGGUAAUAGUGUUUUUCUUGUAUCCCGGUCAGCUGAGUGUUAUAAUUGCACAAUUACAGUGUUAUUAAUGCAGUGUUAAAUUAGUAUUAUUGCAGUGUUACAGUAGUUUAGCAUGGGUACCCUAAAAACAGUAGCGUGGUAGUACUUGAGUGUAAGUGAGAUGUUACUGUAAUAUUAAAUAAGUAUUACUGUAGUAUUAUGGUGAUAGUAUUGUACUUAUUGUAGCCCAGUAAACUGAGUGUGUUAAUUGAAACAGUAAAAUGUAAUUGGACGUCUGCAGAGAUGCUCUUCAUUUCAGGCGAUGUUCAGGAUAAAAGUGUUGAAGGACUGACUUACACUGUCUUUGUGUCUUUGUUUAGAAGCAGAGCGACACAGAUGGAUCCACUUCUCAACCCUGUCAUCGCUGUGGCGGUGGGAAAGACUUCCGUUGUGACAUCUGUGGAAAAACUUUCAGUCGGCAAGCCGGCCUAAAAAUACAUCAACGUAAACACACUGGAGACAAACUGAAAUACUGCAAAGAAUGUGGGAGAAGCUUCCCCACAUCACGUGAGUUAAAACAACAUGAACUCUUUCACAGUGGGGUUAAAAAGCACCUCUGUGAUCAGUGUGGGUCAUCCUUCACCACUGCAAGUGACCUUAAAACACACAAACGAGUCCACACAGGAGAGAAACCAUACAAGUGCAGACACUGUGACAAAAGCUUCUCACAGUCAGGUAAUCGUAACCAGCAUGAACGUACACACAUGGAAGGAAACUACAGCUGUGAGCAGUGUGACAAGAGCUUCAGUAAUCUCAGUUCAUACUCCGCACACAAACGAUCCCACGUUACUAAUAAACUGUUUCACUGUUACCAAUGUGCCAAAACAUUCACUUCAUUAUCUGCUCUGUGCAAACAUCAGCGUGAUCACGCAGGGCUGAAAUCGUUCCCAUCACAGGACGACAGCGAAUCUGAAGAGAGAGAAACAUCCUCUUCUGGUUUCAGAGUCCAACUUAAAACCCUGGAGAUCAGGCUCCACAGAGUUCAGAUCGGCUCUCCUUAAAGAUCUAAUGAGGCUAUGAAUCAAAAUGUUCCUGUAGUUCCAUUUUAAUCUUUAUAAACUGUUCUUCUGUAGUGUUUGUGUUCAGUGGUUACCUUUUUUUUUUUUUUUUUUUUUUUUCAGUGGUUGGAUGAAAAAUCAGUUUCCUGUCGUUCAAGUUUUUAUUGAAUGUAUUUUAUUAAAGUUCUUAAAGUUCUUUUUGAGUUUUUUUUUGUUUAAGUUCUUAAAUAAAGUUAAAAAAAUGUUAAAUAAAGAAUUG